rnacentral:rRNA from 1 species
UGGGGAAUAUUGCACAAUGGAGGGAACUCUGAUGCAGCGACGCCGCGUGAACGAAGAAGGCUUUCGAGUCGUAAAGUUCUUUUAUAUGGGAAGAUAAUGACGGUACCAUAAGAAAAAGCCCCGGCUAACUACGAGCCAGCAGCCGCGGUAAUACGUAGGGGGCUAGCGUUGUCCGGAAUCACUGGGCGUAAAGGGUUCGCAGGCGGAAAUGCAAGUCAGGUGUAAAAGGCAGUAGCUUAACUACUGUAAGCAUUUGAAACUGCAUAUCUUGAGAAGAGUAGAGGUAAGUGGAAUUUUUAGUGUAGCGGUGAAAUGCGUAGAUAUUAAAAAGAAUACCGGUGGCGAAGGCGACUUACUGGGCUCAUUCUGACGCUGAGGAACGAAAGCGUGGGUAGCAAACAGG